rnacentral:tRNA from 1 species
GCGGGUAUCGUAUAAUGGUUCUUAUGUCAGCCUUCCAAGCUGAAGAUGGGGGUUCGAUUCCCCCUACCCGCUCCA